UCAAACAAGUCGCCGCCACACGCCUCUAUCGAUCAUCCAUCUUAACCAGUUUUGUCGUUCAAAACUUUAAGCAUCGAUCUCAUCUUCUAAAUAUCACUACUCUGAUCUUUUCAUGAUUUAUUAGUGUUUGCCCAAUAUGAUAAAUGUUUUAGUGAAUUGUCGGUUCUUCUCGUCAUUCUUAGCAUCCUCCUUUUGUUGGUAGAAUCAUUGUAAACAAUGAAGAAUAUGCUCCAAAAAGAUCAAGAUCAUAGGGCAGAGACUCGGAUGUCUUUUAAUCUUCAAGGCCUUUGGAGACAGCCUCGAGGGCCUCUUGUCCAUUACUAACUGGAGAGUUCGAAGGAUGCCCCGAGUGCAGAAAGAGCCGCAUUAGCUAUUUUUUGUAGCACUUCGCCAUCCCCCACUACCAACACUUUCUUCCCAGCUAAAGGCUUAUCGACUUCUUUAAUCUCUGAUUUUGGAAGUGUAAGAGAACUGGUUGAAGAAGGUGAUGUGAUUAGGCCACCCGAUCCGAUUAGGCUACCCUCGGAUGUAUAAUUUGGUGGAUAGGUCUCUGACAUUUCUGUAGGCCUUUCUCCUCCAUACUCAGGUAGAAGCUUUAGUACCUGAUACAAUCGUGAUCCAUCGAGGGGCUUGAAAAGAAUGAAUCAGUGCAUGUACGAAGAUAAGUACAAGAUAGAAAUUUUCCCGACUUCAUUGUGGAUUCUACUAGUGGCUUACGGUAUUGCUUCAAAAAAUGUAAACUAUUUUGCGGUAUCCAAAUAAACAAUGUUUGCUAAUUUUAUA